rnacentral:rRNA from 1 species
UACAGAGGUGGCAAGCGUUGUUCGGAAUUACUGGGCGUAAAGGGCGCGUAGGCGGUUCGUUAAGUCCGGUGUGAAAUCCCCCGGCUCAACUGGGGAACUGCACAGGAAACUAGCGGGCUUGAGUUCGGGAGAGGGAAGCGGAAUUCCGGGUGUAGCGGUGAAAUGCGUAGAUAUUGGGAAGAACACCGAUGGCGAAGGCAGCCAUCUGGACCGACACUGACGCUGAGGCGCGAAAGCGUGGGGAGCAAACAGG